rnacentral:piRNA from 1 species
UUGCUUGCAGACCAAACCAGGGAC